UACGUAGGGUGCAAGCGUUGUCCGGAAUCAUUGGGCGUAAAGAGCGUGUAGGCGGCUCGAUCAGUCUGCUGUGAAAGCCCAGGGCUCAACCCUGGGAUGCCGGUAGAUACUGUCGAGCUAGAGUCCGGAAGAGGCGAGUGGAAUUCCUGGUGUAGCGGUGAAAUGCGCAGAUAUCAGGAGGAACACCAAUGGCGAAAGCGGCUCACUGGACCGCAACUGACGCUGAGGCGCGAAAGCUAGGGUAGCAAACGGG
rnacentral:rRNA from 1 species